GUCUGAAGAGGGCGCAUUAGUGGCAGGGAGUAGACACGAAACCAGGUGAGCUACCCAUGGCCAGGCUGAAGCGAGGCUAACCCCUCGUGGAGGGCCGAACCUUUCGCUGUUGCAAAAGCGUGGGAUGAGCUGUGGGUAGAGGUGAUAUGCCAAACGAACCUGGAGAUAGCUUGUUCUCCCCGAAAUAGCUUUAGGGCUAGCCUCGCGUGUUCAGUACCGGAGGUAGAGCACUGGAUGGGCUAGGGGGCUUACUGCUUACCAAACCCAACCAAACUCCGAAUGCCGGUACUCUACAGCGCGGGAGUCGGACUACGGGAGAUGAGUUUCGUAGUCGAGAGGGAAAGAGCCCAGACCGACGGCUAAGGUCCCCAAGUUCAGGCUAAGUGGGAAACGAGGUGGGACUGCCCGGACAGCCAGGAGGUUGGCCUAGAAGCAGCCAUCCUUUAAAGAGUGCGUAACAGCUCACUGGUCGAGCGGUCCUGCGCGGAAAAUAUAACGGGGCUCAAGCCUGACACCGAAGCCACGGGCCUCCGCAUUAGCGGGGGUGGUAGGGGAGCGUUCUGCAGGCAGAGAAGCCGUACCGUGAGGAGCGGUGGAGCGUGCAGAAGUGAGAAUGCCGGCAUGAGUAGCGCAAAACACGUGAGAACCGUGUUCGCCGUAAGUCUAAGGUUUCCGACGGAAGGUCAGUCCGCGUCGGGUUAGUCGGGCCUAAGCCGAGGCCGAAAGGCGUAGGCGAUGGACAUCCGGUUAAUAUUCCGGAACCACCUGAGAGGAGCGAUGGGGGGACGCAGCAUGGUAGGCCAGCCCGUUACUGGAUUCGGGUGCUAAGCCUGUAGGGCGAUGAUGGGGGUAGGGAAAUCCGCCCCCGGAGCCUGAGAGGUGAUGGCGGUGCCUUGAGCCAGAAGUGGUCGAGCCAGGCUGCCAAGAAAAGCCUCUAAGCGGUGAAUCUCGGGUGCCCGUACCGCAAACCGACACUGGUAGACGGGUAGAGUAUACCAAGGCGAACGGGAGAACCCUCGUUAAGGAACUAGGCAAAAUGACCCCGUAACUUCGGGAGAAGGGGUGCCCCGGUAGGGUGAGGCAAAUAUGCUGAGCCCGAGGGGGUCGCAGUGAAAUGGCCCUGCCGACUGGUUACCAAAACCACAGGUCUCUGCUAACUCGCAAGAGGAAGUAUAGGGGCUGACGCCUGCCCAGUGCCGGAAGGUUAAAGGGAAGGGUUAGCCUCCUCCGGGAGGCGAAGCUCUGAACUGAAGCCCCGGUGAACGGCGGCCGUAACUAUAGAGUGGACCGCUGUAGUUACGCUAAUAAACCUGGCUAUAUGCUGGAAA
rnacentral:rRNA from 1 species